rnacentral:rRNA from 1 species
UAAUUGAAGAGUUUGAUCAUGGCUCAGAUUGAACGCUGGCGGCAGGCCUAACACAUGCAAGUCGGGCGGUAACAGGGGGAAGCUUGCUUCUCUGCUGACGAGCG